UCUGCCUUGAAUAUUCAGGACUCUUCAUAUCAAGUUCUCAGAAUGAGGUGCUCUCUUCAGUUCCUGGGGUUGCUUGUGCUCUGGAUUCCUGGAGUCAAUGGGGAUAUUGUGAUGACCCAGGGUGCACUCCCCAAUCCUGUCCCUUCUGGAGAGUCAGCUUCCAUCACCUGCAGGUCUAGUAAGAGUCUGGUAUACAAAGACGGCAAGACAUACUUGAAUUGGUUUCUGCAGAGGCCAGGACAGUCUCCUCAGCUUCUGACCUAUUGGAUGUCUACCCGUGCAUCAGGAGUCUCAGACAGGUUCAGUGGCAGUGGGUCAGGAACAUAUUUCACACUGAAAAUCAGUAGAGUGAGGGCUGAGGAUGCGGGUGUGUAUUACUGUCAGCAAGUUCGAGAGUAUCCUCCACAGUGAUACAGCCCUGAACAAAAACCACCCAGAUGGAAAUGCCCAGCUGUCACAUGUAUUGCUUGUACUGAGAACAUCAGAUGAAAAUAUUACAUUUAGAUAGAAGGAGGAGGAAGUGGGAGUGAUUGAAGAUCAGGAGAAUGAGAGGGAGUAGAUGACCUGAAGAACUUAGAAUUAUUUAUAGCUGAGACCUUAGUGGAGUGUUAAUUCAGGUGGUGUUCUCCUU